rnacentral:rRNA from 1 species
UACGUAGGGGGCAAGCGUUGUCCGGAUUCAUUGGGCGUAAAGAGCGUGUAGGCGGCCAGGUAGGUCGGUUGUGAAAACUGGAGGCUCAACCUUCAGAGGUCGACCGAAACCAUCUGGCUAGAGUCCGGGAGAGGAGAGUGGAAUUCCUGGUGUAGCGGUGAAAUGCGUAGAUAUCCGGAAGAACACCGAUGGCGAAGGCAACCACCUGGGCCUGCACUGACGCUGAGGUACGAAAGCGUGGGGAGCAAACAGG